rnacentral:rRNA from 1 species
GUAGCAGGCCUUCGGGCGCUGACGAGUGGCGGACGGGUGAGUAACGCGUAGGAAUCUGCCUCAUAGUGGGGGACAACGUGGGGAAACCCACGCUAAUACCGCAUACGCCCUAGGGGGGAAAGCGGGGGCUCGAAAGACCUCGCGCUAUGAGAUGAGCCUGCGUUAGAUUAGCUAGUUGGUAGGGUAAAGGCCUACCAAGGCGACGAUCUAUAGCUGGUCUGAGAGGACGAUCAGCCACACUGGGACUGAGACACGGCCCAGACUCCUACGGGAGGCAGCAGUGGGGAAUAUUGGACAAUGGGCGCAAGCCUGAUCCAGCAAUACCGCGUGUGUGAAGAAAGCCCUAGGGUUGUAAAGCACUUUCAAUGGGGAGGAAAACCUGCCGGUCAAUACCCGGUAGCUUGACAUUACCUAUAGAAGAAGCACCGGCUAACUCCGUGCCAGCAGCCGCGGUAAUACGGAGGGUGCGAGCGUUAAUCGGAAUUACUGGGCGUAAAGCGUGCGUAGGCGGCUCGUUAAGUCAGAUGUGAAAGCCCUGGGCUCAACCUGGGAACUGCAUUUGAAACUGGCGAGCUAGAGUUGAGUAGAGGGGAGUGGAAUUUCAGGUGUAGCGGUGAAAUGCGUAGAUAUCUGAAGGAACACCAGUGGCGAAGGCGACUCCCUGGACUCAAACUGACGCUGAGGUACGAAAGCGUGGGUAGCAAACAGGAUUAGAUACCCUGGUAGUCCACGCUGUAAACGAUGUCAACUAGCCGUUGGUCCUAUUUACAGGAUUAGUGGCGCAGCUAACGCAUUAAGUUGACCGCCUGGGGAGUACGGNCGCAAGGUUAAAACUCAAAUGAAUUGACGGGGGCCCGCACAAGCGGUGGAGCAUGUGGUUUAAUUCGAUGCAACGCGAAGAANCUUACCUACCCUUGACAUCCAGANAAUCUGUUAGAGAUAG